rnacentral:rRNA from 2 species
AACCUCGAAUCAGACGUGAAUACCCGCUGAACUUAAGCAUAUCACUAAGCGGAGGAAAAGAA